rnacentral:rRNA from 1 species
GACGAACGCUGGCGGCGUGCUUAACACAUGCAAGUCGAACGGAAAGGCCCUGCUUUUGUGGGGUGCUCGAGUGGCGAACGGGGGAGUAACACGUGAGUAACCUGCCCUUGACUUUGGGAUAACUUCAGGAAACUGGGGCUAAUACCGGAUAGGAGCUCCUGCUGCAUGGUGGGGGUUGGAAAGUUUCGGCGGUUGGGGAUGGACUCGCGGCUUAUCAGCUUGUUGGUGGGGUAGUGGCUUACCAAGGCUUUGACGGGUAGCCGGCCUGAGAGGGUGACCGGGCACAAUAGGACUGAGAGACGGCCCAGACUCCUACGGGAGGCAGCAGUGGGGAAUAUUGCACAAUGGGCGGAAGCCUGAGGCGGCAACGCCGCGUGCGGGAUGACGGCCUUCGGGUUGUAAACCGCUUUCGCCUGUGACGAAGCGUGAGUGACGGUAAUGGGUAAAGAAGCACCGGCUAACUACGUG